rnacentral:ncRNA from 1 species
ACUACUAGGGGUGUCUAUGAGUAUAGACUGAGAUUGAAACAUGUUUGACGUUUCUAAACCCUUUGGACCUGAUCUGGAUCAUACCAGCGUAGGAAAGUAGUGUAAC